rnacentral:rRNA from 1 species
GUGUCAGCAGCCGCGGUAAUACGUAGGGGGCGAGCGUUAUCCGGAUUUAUUGGGCGUAAAGGGCACGCAGGCGGUCGUGUAAGUUUGGGGUUACAGCUCCCGGCUCAACUGGGAGAGCGCCUUGAAGACUGCAGGACUUGAGGGCCACAGAGGGACACGGAAUUCCGGGUGUAGUGGUGAAAUGCGUAGAUAUCCGGAGGAACACCAAAGGCGAAGGCAGUGUCCUGGGUGGUACCUGACGCUCAGGUGCGAAAGCUAGGGGAGCGAACGGGAUUAGAUACCCCGGUAGUCC